rnacentral:rRNA from 1 species
UACGUAGGGUGCGAGCGUUAAUCGGAAUUACUGGGCGUAAAGCGUGCGCAGGCGGUUCGUUGUGUCGGUGGUGAAAGCCCCGGGCUUAACCUGGGAACCGCAUUUGUGACUGCAUAGCUGGAGUACGGCAGAGGGGGAUGGAAUUCCGCGUGUAGCAGUGAAAUGCGUAGAUAUGCGGAGGAACACCGAUGGCGAAGGCAGUCCCCUGGGCCUGUACUGACGCUCAUGCACGAAAGCGUGGGGAGCAAACAGG